GAUGAACGCUGGCGGCGUGCCUAAUACAUGCAAGUCGAGCGAACGGACGAGAAGCUUGCUUCUCUGAUGUUAGCGGCGGACGGGUGAGUAACACGUGGAUAACCUACCUAUAAGACUGGGAUAACUUCGGGAAACCGGAGCUAAUACCGGAUAAUAUUUUGAACCGCAUGGUUCAAAAGUGAAAGACGGUCUUGCUGUCACUUAUAGAUGGAUCCGCGCUGCAUUAGCUAGUUGGUAAGGUAACGGCUUACCAAGGCAACGAUGCAUAGCCGACCUGAGAGGGUGAUCGGCCACAAUGGAACUGAGACACGGUCCAGACUCCUACGGGAGGCAGCAGUAGGGAAUCUUCCGCAAUGGGCGAAAGCCUGACGGAGCAAAGCCGCGUGAGUGAUGAAGGUCUUCGGAUCGUAAAACUCUGUUAUUAGGGAAGAACAUAUGUGUAAGUAACUGUGCACAUCUUGACGGUACCUAAUCAGAAAGCCACGGCUAACUACGUG
rnacentral:rRNA from 1 species